rnacentral:lncRNA from 12 species
UUUUUAUUUUUAUUUUAGUUUUAAUCUUAUUUUUAUUUUUUCUUUUUAUUUUACCUUUGUUUUAUUUUUAUUUUUUUCCUCUUUUUUCCCCAUUUUUUCCCAUUUUUCUGUUUUUCUUCCCCUUUUUUAUUUUCUCACUUUUCCUGCAUUUUUUCACCAUUUCCCGCUGAUUUUUUCCCAUUUCAUUCUCAAUUUAUUCCUCUUUUUUCCCCUUUUUUUUCUCAUUUUUCCUAUUUUUAAAGGCAAAUUAAUUUCCCUUUUUUCCCAUCUAAUUCCUUUUUUUUUCACCAUUUUAUUCCCAUUUUCCCCCUUUUUUUUUUCAUUUUUUCCCCUUUUUUAGUGGAAAAUAUAAUUUCCACUUUUCUCCAUUUAAUUCCCAUUUUUUCUCCAUUUUCCCCCAUUUUAUUCAGAUUUUGCCCCCAUUUUUUUUCAUUUUCCCCUCAUUUUUAAUAGGAAAUUUAAUUCCUUUUUUUCCCAUUUAAUUCCCAUUUUUCCCCAUUUAAUUCCCUUUUUUUCACCAUUUUUUCCCAUUUUUCCCAUUUCUUGCCAUUUCCACCCUUUUUUUUUUUCAUUUUUCCAAUUUUUAAAUGGGAAAUUUAAUUUCCACUUUUUCCCCAUUUAAUUCCUAUUUUUCCACAAUUUUCCCCCAUUUUUCCCCCAUUUUUUUGUCAUUUUUUCCCAUUUUUAAUGCAAAAUUCAAUUCCCACUUUUCUCCCAUUUUCUCCCAUUUCCCCCCCAUUUUUCCACUGUUUUUCUCAAUUUUUUAAAAUUUUUCCAUUUUUUAUUCUCCCAUUUCCCCCCCAUUUUUCCACUGUUUUUCUCAAUUUUUUUAAAUUUUUCCAUUUUUUUACUAGAAAUUUAAUUCCCUUUUUUUCCCAUUUAAUUCCCUUUUUUUCCCAUUUUUUCCCAUUUUUUCCCAUUUUACCCCAUUUUUUUCCCAUUUUUUCCCAUUUUUUCCUAUUUUUUCCCCUUUAUCCUAUUUUUCCCCCAUUUUUUCCCAUUUAUUUUCUUUUUUUCCCCCAUUUCCCUUUUUUCCCCGUUUCAUUUCUAUUUUUCUCCAUUUUUUUCCCAUUUUUUCCCAAUUUUUCUUCUUUUAUUCCCAUUUUUCCCAUUUUAUCCCCAUUUUUCCUAUUUUUCCCCAUUUAUUCUUAUUUUUCCCCCAUUUUUUCCCAUUUUCUUUGUUUUUUUUUUUCCCAUUCCCCCCUUUUUUUCCCAUUUUAUUCCCAUUUUUUCCCCUAUUUUCCCCAUUUUUCCUCCAUUUUCCCCUAUUUUCCCCCCCAUGUUCCCCAUUUUUCCCCCUUUUUUUUCCCCAUUUUUCCACCCUUUUUCCCCAUUUUUUCACCGUUUUUCUCCAUUUUUUUUUCAUUUUUCCCAAUUUCCCCAUUUCUCUCCCCGUUUCCAGGUGAAUCCAGCCCUGGUUCAGCUCAUCAGUGCCCUGCCCCAUUUCCCCAUUUUUUUCCCAAUUUUUCCCCUUUUAUUCCCAUUUUUUCCCAUUUUAUCCCCAUUUUUUCCUAUUUUUCCCCAUUUUUCCCCAUUUUCCCCCCAUUUUUCCCCAAAUUUUCCCCGUUUUUCCCAAUUUCUCUCCCAUUUCCCCCCUUUUUUUCCUCAUUUUUUCCAUCCUUUUCUCCUUUUUCCCCUUUUCCCUCUUUUCCCCCAUUUUCCCAUUUUCCCCCCUCCUCUUUCCCAUCCCAAUUCCUCCCAUUUUUCCCUCUUUUCCCCAUUUUCCUCUCCCCAUUUCCCUUUUCUUCCCUCUCCUUUCCCCUCUUCUUUUCCCCCAUUUUCCUGCUCCUUUCCUUUCCUUUUCCAUCUUUUUUCCCUGCUUUCCCCUCCCCUUUUCCCACUUCUUUUUUCCUUUUCUCACCCCUUUCCCCAUCUUUUCCCCCACUCCUUUUUCUGCUUUUUUCCCUCUUUCUUCCCCAUUUUCCCUUUUUCCCCCUCUCCUUUCUUCCUCUUCUUUUCCCCAUUUUCCCCCCGUUUCCCUCUUUUUCCUGCUCCUUUCCCUUCCUUUUCCCUCUCCUUUUCCAGCUUCUUUCACCCCUUUUCCCUCACUUUUUCCCCUUUCUUUUCCCCAAUUUUCCUCUCUCCUUUUCCUCCCCUUUUCCCACUCAUUUUUUCUCCCUUUCCCCUUUCCCCCCCACCCCGGAACCCCAAAAUCCACGUUUUAUCGACUUUUACAUAUUUUUUUUUGACUUUUUCAAUUUUUCAAUUUUUGGUUUUUUUUGGAAUUUCUUCCUCUCUGUUUUCCCCCCAGCCCCCCGGAAUUCCAGAGGAAAAUUCCGAGGAUCCCACGAACGACAACGUCCGGAGCAUCAGCGUCAGCACCCUGCUGCUGCUCAGCACCACCGUGCACAGGAUGGGCCCCGUGUGUAAUUCCCAAAAAAUUCCCCAAAUUCCCAAAAAUUCCACAUUCAGGACUCUCCCAAUCCCAAAAUUCCCAAUUCUGGGGGAUUUCAUUCCCAAAAUUCCCAAUCCCGAGGCAUUUCCUGUGCCUGCUCAGCACCACCGUGCACAGGAUGGGCCCCGUGUGUAAUUCCCAAAAAAUUCCCAAAAUUCCCAAAAAUUCCCAAAUUUCUACAUUCCCAAUCCCAAAAUUCCCAGUUCUGGAGAAAUUUAAUUCCCAAAAUUCCCAAUCCCGAGGCGUUUCCUGUUCCUGCUCAGCACCGCCGUGCACAGGAGGGGCCUCGUGUGCAAUUCCCCAAAAAAUUCCCAAAAUUCCUGAAUUUGAGAGCCCCCCCCCCCCCCCCCCCCCCCCCCCCCCCCCCCCCCCCCCCCCCC